rnacentral:tRNA from 1 species
GCGGGAGUAGCUCAGAUGGUAGAGCAUCAGCCUUCCAAGCUGAGGGUCGCGGGUUCGAAUCCCGUUUCCCGCUCCA